GUUAGUUGCCAGCGGGUAGAGCCGGGAACUCUAACGGGACUGCCACCGUAAGGUGAGAGGAAGUGGGGAUGACGUCAAAUCAGCACGGCCCUUAUGUCCAGGGCUACACACGUGUUACAAUGGCCGGUACAAAGGGCAGCCAACCCGCGAGGGGGAGCCAAUCCCAUAAAACCGAUCGUAGUCCGGAUUGGAGUCUGCAACUCGACUCCAUGAAGUCGGAAUCGCUAGUAAUCGUGGAUCAGAAUGCCACGGUGAAUACGUUCCCGGGCCUU
rnacentral:rRNA from 1 species